GAGACACUGUGAUCAGUUCUCUGAGGCACUGUGAUUCAUACUCUGAGGCACUGUGAUCUAUGCUCUGAGACACUGUGAUCAGUUUUCUGAGGCACUGUGAUCUAUACUCUGAGACACUGUGAUCCAUACUCUGAGACACUGUGAUCCAUACUCUGAGAUACUGUGAUCCAUACUCUGAGACACUGUGAUCCAUACUCUGAGACACUGUGAUCAGUUAUCUGAGACACUGUGAUCUAUGCUCUGACACUGUGAUCCAUACUAUGAGACACUGUGAACCAUACUCUGAGAUACUGUGGUCCAUACUCUAACACUGUGAUUCAUACUCUGAGACACUGUGAUCAGUUAUCUGAGGCAGUGUGAUCCAUACUCUGAGACACUGUGAUCCAUACUCUAAGAUACUGUGAUCCAUACUCUGAGACACUGUGAUCUUUGCUCUGACACUGUGAUCCAUACUCUGAGACACUGUGAUCCAUACUCUGAGACACUGUGAUCUAUACUCUGAGACACUGUGAUCCAUACUCUGAGACACUGUGAUCCAUACUCUGAGACCAUUAGUAGAAAUCCUAUACAGUCAGCGGUUAUCAGCGCGGGCGCUCAUUUUAUUUUUUAAUUGAACUGCGCAUGUGCAGUUCAGAUGUGAUUUAUUAUUCAAAAUGGCGGAAGAGAAGCGACUUCGCGAGGGAGACGGCUUUUAUCGUCAACUUAACGAGGCAAAUUCGGGUGAACUGUUGUGGGGAGGCAUUCAAAAAAGAAAAAAGACACGGAGGAAUGGGGAUCCAACAUUUUAUCCCGUUGAAAGAGUUGUUUCACGGCAAAUAAACAAUGGAAAGGAAUUUUGACAGCCCACAAGUGGAGACUUCACGCCUUCAAGGCAAUUUAGAUCGGCUGAGAGAGGCGAUGGAGGCAAAGCUUAAGAGAAGAACUAGGGUGCCUGUUUCAAUAGAAUUUCAUCAUGAUUGUUUUCGAUAUUGUUUUAGUGGCAAGGGUAUAAAAUCAAGGGAUGGGAAACAUAUUUUGCUUAGCAGCAAUGAUUUUAGGGUUUGUAAUUUUCCAAGGGAGUGGGACGUAUAUCUA